rnacentral:rRNA from 1 species
GAUGAACGCUGGCGGCGUGCUUAACACAUGCAAGUCGAACGAUGAGGCCCAGCUUGCUGGGUGGAGUAGUGGCGAACGGGUGAGUAACACGUGAGUAACCUGCCCUUAACUCUGGGAUAAGCCUGGGAAACUGUGUCGAAUACCGGAUAGGAGCGUCCACCGCAUGGUGGGUGUUGGAAAGAUUUAUCGGUUUUGGGUGGACUCGCGGCCUAUCAGCUUGUUGGUGAGGUAAUGGCUCACCAAGGCGACGACAGGUAGCCGGCCCGAGAGGGUGACCGGCCACACUGGGACUGAGACACGGCCCAGACUCCUACGGGAGGCAGCAGUGGGGAAUAUUGCACAAUGGGCGCAAGCCUGAUGCAGCGACGCCGCGUGCGGGAUGACGGCCUUCGGGUUGUAAACCUCUUUCAGUAGGGAAGAAGCGAUAGUGACGGUACCUGCAGAAGAAGCACCGGCUAACUACGUG